ACACAUGUAAAAAUGCAGAAACAUGCCACUUUAUUUUAAUUGAGAAACAAUCUAUUUAGUUGAACAGCAUGUGCAUAAUACAGGAAAGUGGACAGUAAACCUUUAAUGUUAAUUCUAGUGAUAAGGUCAGUUUCCUGAUCUGUUCUUUGCUCUCAGAUUUCUGCAUGGUGAGAAGGGGUUUGAGGUUCCUACAUGCUAGGAGAAUGACCUAUUGUUGAGAAUGAAAUAUUUGUAUGAUUGUGUAACAAAUUAAUGAAAUUUACUGUUGAAAGACCACACACACAAUUAGGGAAUAGCUAACUGUAUAGUGAUAAGUGAUGUUUAGUGGCUGGCUAUAUGGCAAUGAGAAGUUGAUAGAUGAAAUUUGAUUAAGAUGAACUGAUUAAAUCUUAGAUAAUUGAGUAGUGCUAGAGCUGUUUUAUGAGUGACAUUGCUGAAUCAGAGUGAUAAAAAAUAAAUCUGUGAUGCUUGGGUCUAAUGACUGUGUAAAGUUGGGUAUGGACAUAAAAGAAAAUUGUGUGUAACGAUAUAUUACAUUUGAACAUUGUUUGUGGGAAUGGUACAUUUGGCAGUGAGAGUUACUAGCAAGUAGUAGAGUAUAAGGAGAAAAACAGUUGAGUGGAUUGUUCUUGUUGUAAAAAUAGUAAAAGUAAUUGGUUUAUUUUUACAAAAAAGCUGCCAGUUGAACCUGUAUGUGGUUGAUCCUUCUAUCAUCUUCCCAGGAGAAAGGUGGUGUGAUUGGGUGGGGUUUUACUAAUGUAAAAUAUAUAUAAUUUAUGUGUACAUGUAUGUAUAUGUGUACAUAUCCCUGCCAAACUCUGAAAAUUUCUAUUCCAUACAAUGGGGCUCAGGUAAAUGAUUUUAAGAAUUAUUUUUAAAUGGGCAAACAGAGCAUUUUUUUUUCAUACUCUUGUUUUUAAAAAUAGUUGAAGCAUUUAGUUGGAACUCUCCAUUGAGAAAGAUGUCCAGUGCAGAGAGAGGCCAAAUGGUACAAAUAUGUGGCAUAAAGGACCAGUCAACAGCCUGCAUAUAGGGGCAGUGAAGGGAAAUUUCCAUCUGCAAUUGGUCUCCCCCAGUGCGGGAGAAGUGUUGGAUAUCAUUGCAUGUACAAUAAAGAUGUCUGAAUUCAUUGAUCACUGUCUGACCAGCAAGCAUAACAAUCCUGUAGCAAUUUAUUGCAAGUUGGAAGGGGGAGGGAUUCAAGAUUGUCUAAGAAGAAAUCUGUGCAUGUAGGGAUAUGACUCUUUAUUUUCGGGUUAAGAAUAAAACACCUAUUUGGUGGUGUGCA
rnacentral:lncRNA from 1 species